UCGCUACGGGUUCUGCUUUUAAAAACGUGAUGAUGAAAUCAGCCUUACGAAACGCCUACUUCUCCUUCUCUUUCUCCUUCUCUCGCUCCAUAAACCCUAACCCUAAACCCCACCCACCCCUCUCUCUCCUCUCCCCCAUUCACACCGCCAUCCCAACCUCCCCCGCCUCACUCCGCAACCUCCGCCCACCGCUCUUCCCGACCCGUUGCUGUUCUUCUUCUUCCUCUCCGAUGGCGGACGGUGAAUCCCACGCUCCUCCUCCUUCCCCUUCCGAUACUCUGCUCGAGAAACAGUUCCAGCACUUCCGCCACCACCUCGACGAGUCCGUCGGCUUGCGGGAUCGCAUCCGAGCUGUCGCGACAGAGAUUGAAUCCGCCACUAGGCUCAUGCACUCCAGUCUCCUCUUAGUUCACCAGUCUCGCCCCGUCCCUGAGGUUUUGGAGAAAGCAAAGGCUCAGAUUGGCGUGCUGAAAGAGAUUUUCCAUCGACUUGCUGAAAUUCUUCGUGAAUGCCCUGGGCAGUAUUAUAGGUAUCACGGUGAUUGGAGGAGUGAGACUCAAACAGUUGUCUCGCUUCUGGCCUUUAUGCAUUGGCUAGACACAGGGAAUCUUCUUGUACACACAGAAGCUGAGGAAAAACUUGGAUUGAAUAAUUCACAAUUUGGUUUGGACAUUGAAGACUAUCUUGUUGGAAUUUGUUUCAUGUCCAAUGAAUUGCCGCGGUAUGUGGUGAACCGAGUGACAGCUGGGGAUUAUGACUGCCCAAGAAAGGUGUUGAAGUUCUUAACAGAUCUACAUGCAGCAUUUCGCAUGCUUAAUCUCCGGAAUGACUUCUUGCGCAAGAAGUUUGAUGGAAUGAAAUAUGACCUACGAAGAGUAGAAGAAGUUUACUACGAUGUUAAAAUCCGAGGUUUGGCAGCAAAUGGGGAUUCGACAGGAGACCAAGGAAUCCAAGGAGACUCAUAGUUGAGUUCAACAUGUUUUUGCGUUCAUUGCCCCUGGAAGAACUUUUAAGAUAUGGUUUUGCGAGGUUUGUCGCGACAUCUUCUAUACUAUAAAGCAGAGCGGAAAAUAUCUAGUGCUCAAUAUUGUAAAGCACAUAUUAUGUUGGGGAAUAAGUUGCAGUUGUUUUUGUGUAGGCCUUUUGUCCUUUUGAGUUUGCUCAUAACUUUGUUGAAUGCUUUAAGUCUCUUUAUUUAGUAGCAAAUGAUGACCUGCCUUUUUUGUUUACCGGUCUUGUGUGUGUACGGUAUAUGGGGAGAUCUAUCCAAAGGGAUGAUACGUUGUGAAGUCUUUCUUCUGACAUCAUUGUACUACCUUGUCUUUUUGAAUCUGUCACUCUGCAUCAUUCCUCAGUUGCCUCAAAUUAGCAUAAUUAUCUCCUUAUCUUCAAUAUCCCCGUCUACCGUUUAAAGAACAGAUGAAGUAUACUAGAGUCUAGACUAUUAUGGAGUGAUAGCCGCAAGAAGAUGAGGACAUCUAUCAUGUUAGUAGUUAGCAUGAGUGUUGUUAAAAUCUUAGAAUUAGGAUACAUAUUGUAUCGUGAGGGAAAUUGUACUGAUGGUAUGGUGUAAUGAUUUUGAAAGGAAAUUGGGAAGAAAAGUGGCACGAGACUAUUCUGUAACAUACAAUAUUUUGGCAUGCCGUAGUAGAGGGCUUGCAGAUCAUAAGAUAUGGAAGUGCGCCCUAUUUUUCGGAACUGGUAAAAGUUUAUCGGGGAGCUGGGUCAAAGGAUGAAGGCUUCUUGCUAAAAAUUCAUGCAUAGUGUUCUUUACAACUUGCAGACUUUGGAAAAUUUGAUCUCGUAGUUUGAUGAAAUGUAUGGUCACCAAACUGAGGUUCAUAAGUUUAAUCUUAGUGUGACAGUCAUUUGAGACCUGGCUUCUAGUGGGACUAUUCAUCAGUUCUUGAUGUGGGCAUGAGUUUUUCCGUUAAUUUUUUUGGCUUUGAUUAGGAUUUCUAGUCAUCCAAUUGUCGAGUAGUUCUGAAGUUGUUUACAUACGAUAAUCAACUGCAGUUAAGAUGUGGUAUUUUGGUUGAUACUUGACAUAAUCUAUCCUUAAUAUUCUGAUAUUGUAGAAUUGUUUUAUACAAUUUUAUCUGAUUCUUUAGGUAAUUGAAGAUGCUAUGCCAAUUAGAUACCUUUAAUGUUCUUGGGACUUUGUUUCUUGUUUACUUUCCAGUUGACUCGUUUGAGGGAUCUAAUUGUAUUUAUAGGAAUAUUUUCAGUUGUGUCAAAACCUGAAUUUAUCUGCAUAUUUUAACUGCUGCUAAGUGCUAUCCAAACAUGAACUUUUAUAAUUAGGGCCCUCCAGCAAAUCGUCUACAAACUCUGAAGAAGCGCCUCGUGGCUCCUGAUGAUUCCAUUGAAGAUGUGCUUGGAGUCCUCCAGAAACUUGCUCCCCUUGUACAAGGACUCUGGAUUCCAGCAACGCCACUGCUACUUGAAGGAGGAGUUGAAGGUCUAGCUACAGAUUACUGUCUUCUUUUCUUUAGUAAGAAAGAAUCCUGUAAUCAGAUAUGAACGAGGGAAAGCUGUGGGUUCUCGUGGUCAGCCUUUGAAAGAUGUUAUAAAAGGCGUGUUGGACAUUUUAAUUCAAACCAUUCAUUUCUCUUUUAAUAAAUUGAUUCGACGAUGUCUUCAA